AUCCGGGAAAUCGCUCAGAAAGCAGUUGGCGACUCUGGAGAGCACCGGUGCAAUUUGCAUAGAUCACUUUCUUCUGGUGCAAUGUGUAGAGAGAUGUGACAUGUGAGGUGAAAUUUGCACAUUAGAUUUAAUUUCACGUGGUAUCUUCAGUACCAUGAUGUAUAGUAAUAGACCUAUAAAGUUUUUAUUAAGACCAAUUGAUAAACCAACUUGUAACAUUUAAGCUAGUGAUUGCACAUAUCCAUUUUGGGUUAAAAUUUUUUUGCAUCUUGAACUCUUGAAACUAUGAAUUGGUGAAAAGUUAAUGUUUUACAAUACCAAGUGGUACUAUUAUUCAUUAUUCAUGGGGAACAAUGAUGUUUUUGUUAUUCUCUCAAUAAGACAAAAAGAGUUAAAGACUAGUAGAGCUAAAAUUAGCAUCAGAUUUAAAAUUUAUCUUUCUGAAAACGAAAAAGCUAUCUUGUGCCAUACUGAGUUCUGUUUGGAGGCAGUUGGUACCCUAUGUUCACUUGCUGGACAUAGUGUGCUAAAGAGAGAUGGAGGAACUGCUGUAAACAUAGCAGAUCUCAUGGAGCAAAUAUGUAGUUUCUGUUACAAAGCUGUAAUAGAAAAAUGUAGUGGGACAAUUUGUCAGGCUUUAGAGAAGCAUCAUCCUUUGCUAUAUCUCCACUUCAUGUAAAUGGAAACAUCUCUGGAACUUCAUGUUGACCUGGGAAAUUUAGCCCCUGUGCCCAUUGCAUCAAUGAAAGGCAGAAUUUUACAACCUAUAGGCCAAUUUUACAACUCACUUAUGGUGAUUGUUCCUUCAAAUGCAAUUAUAAUGUAUGUUGGUAUUGUUUAUCAACAUUCAACUGGCAUAACAGCAUGUUCUGGAAAUAAUAAUAGGAUACAUUAGUUAUAGGUUGGUGAAUAAGAUAACCCUUCAGCGCCUCUAUUUUUGCUGUGUGAUAGCUCGGAGUCGAAACUACUAAUAUCCUUGUACAAUAAGUUCAAAAAGGUUUUAAAGGAAAACACUUCAAGUUGAUUUAUCUGCGUGAUAUAGCGGUUUUU